CAACUACUCCCUUUGUCCCAAAGUUCUUGUCUUAGAUUUUUCUAGAUACAGAUGUAUCUAAUACUAAAAUGUGACUUGAUACACCCUUAUCUAGACAAAUCUAAGACAAGAAUUUUGGGACGGAGGGAGUACUUU
rfam:Triticum aestivum genome assembly, contig: Triticum_aestivum_CS42_TGACv1_scaffold_129342_2BL